rnacentral:SRP_RNA from 1 species
GCACGGUUGCAUACAUCUCUAGCCCCAGCAACUGGGAGGCUGAGACGGGAGGAUUGCUUGAAUCAAGGUAAUUUGGGCUGCAGUAUACUACACCUACAGGGUGUCCACAAUAAGUUUAGCAUCAAUAUGGUAACCUGCUAGGAGUAGGGGACCACCAUGUUCCCUAAGGAGGGGUGAACCGGUCCAGGUCAGAAAUGGAGCAUGUCAAAGACAUAAAAGACUAAGUGGUAUUCUUCAGACUACUGACUCUGUAGGCAUACUGUAUCUCAGCAUGGAGACCUGCAUGGAAAAUAAUCAUUUGGCUCA